UACGUAGGGUCCGAGCGUUGUCCGGAUUUACUGGGCGUAAAGCGCGCGCAGGCGGCUCGUCAAGUCUGGCGUGAAAGCCCCCGGCUCAACCGGGGAGGGUCGUCGGAGACUGGCGAGCUUGAGGGCGGUAGGGGCUGGUGGAAUUCCACGUGUAGCGGUGAAAUGCGUAGAGAUGUGGAGGAACACCAGUGGCGAAGGCGACUCUUUGGCCUGUAACUGACGCUGAGGCGCGAAAGCGUGGGGAGCAAACAGG
rnacentral:rRNA from 1 species